rnacentral:antisense_RNA from 1 species
AGUCACAAGAGGCCCUGAGCUCUGUGGGCCCCAGGUGCCCCAGGAAAACUUGGGGGAGAAUGGGCAUCCCACCCCAGCACUUUCUAGGAAGGAGGGCAGCAUUUUGAAGGGCUGGAAGUAGAGGAAGGAGGUUGCGGGUAGAAGACUCCAUACUUUCUGUGAUGCCUAUUCCUUAGGUAGGAACUUAGGAACCUCAGGAGAGCCUUUAUAUAACCAAAGAUAUUUUUGGACCAUGAAUUCGGAAAUUCUCGGAGCCACCCAUCAGUGCCUGAGCUUCAGUGAGUCCAUAUCCCAUGUCACCCACGGCAAAGGAGAAUCUAAGACUUCUGAAGAGUUUCUUGCUUCUUUCCUGUGGGGCAGUGACUCCACUUCCCAGCAGUAAUGGAAUAUCCUGAAUUAGCUACAUUAAUGUUAGAACCAUUUGGACCUCACCCAGGACUUCAACUACAUUAUGCUAAAGUUACAGAACCCAAAUUUGGCAACUGUCUGCAUCUGAACAACAGAAGUUUCAACAUUCUGCCAACAGAGUAACUCCUGGACGAUUGGCACAGAAGGCACAAGGCAAAUACCUAUCUCUGUACACCCUGUGCUACUGUGUCAUGUGCUGCUCCAGGCAACUCCAAUGGAUUGGCCACCCUGGCCAAUGUGUUCUAGUAUGUUAGGUUUAUGUUCCCCUGCUUUCUACAAUCCUGUUCAAAGAGUUGCUGACUUA